UGGAGUCACAACCCUUCUCAACUAGUCCAUUUUCCCUCAUUUCUCUCUCUACAGUUUCCUCUUUCUUUCUUUCUUCUUCUACGGCGUCUGAUCUUUGACUAUGGGGAUACCUCAACACCAAUUCCUGCAACAGCAGCAGCAAUCUGGACCAAUUAAUUUCUACAACUCCUGUAGUAAUCUCGUUGAUCAAACUUACCCGCAGUACAUUCCUCCAUUUCAUGUUCCUGGUUUGGCUCCUGGCGAUGUCUUCGAUGGAGGUGAUUUGCAAUGGGCUAAUGGUGUGGAAAUUUCUAGAAAAAGAUUAAAAGAACAGGAUUUCCUAGAUAAUAAUAAUAAUAAUCGGUAUUACGACAAUAUCAACAAUCAUAAUAGUAAUACUAAUUCACAGAUUUCGUCACUAGAUUUCUUACAAACUCGACCAGUUUCUACGGGUUUAGGUUUAUCUCUUGAUGAUAGGCGUAAUGUUACAUCUGGAGAAACUCCAGUUUACUCUUUCUUUGAUGAUGAAAUUGAUCGUGAGUUUCAGAGACAAGAUGCUGAGAUUGAUCAUUUCGUCAAAGUUCAGGGUGAGAGACUGAGACAAUUGAUCCUUGAGAAAGUUCAAGCUAACCAAUUCCGAACUAUUGCACUUGCGGAAGAAAGGAUAGCUCAAAAGCUUAUAGAGAAAGAAGCGGAGGUGGAACGCAUUGAUAACAAGAAUAAUGAAUUGGAAGAACAAAUUAAACAGUUAAUUGCAGAAGCGGAUGAGUGGAAACAUCGAGCAAAGUUAUAUGAGAAUUUUAUUGAUACACUUAAGUCCAAUAUACGGCUAGCCCAAAAUAGAGAUGUCAAAGAAGGGUGUGGUGAUAGCGAGGUAGACGAUGCGGCAUCAUAUUGCAAUAACGGAGCUAUUGAUUUCCAUCUCAUUGGCAACACAAACACAGAAUUCAAGGAGUCAAUGACUUGUAAGUUAAUAGUAGAUUCGACAAGCUGCAUCCAGAACUAGCCCGGCAUCGCCAUUAGGAACUACCAGUCUUCGCGCACUAUCUCCAAUUUUAAAGAUUAGGAUGGCACCGAGUCGUCCACGUUUGUUGUUUCACUAGGUGGAAUGAUGUUUAGACCAACUCGGAGCCAGCACCUGUUCAUCUUUCCUACCAGAUUAAAACAAAAGGAACACAAAAUCUUACGUUGUGUUUAGAGAAGAUAAAGAAGUAGGGUGGUGCAAGCAGUUCAGCUUUUGUACAAAAAGAAGACCCUACGAGAUUUCAAAAAAAAUACUACAAAGCUGUAUGCAGGAAAACAACAUGUGCACUAAUGCAUGUUUUGCUAAAAUUAUCCAUCAAGAUUCAAAUACUGUAUGGUACAGUAACUACAGUUCAUGUUCUGCAAAAUCAUUUAGAUAUCAGACUGACUGAGAAGGAUGAUACAAUGUCUCUUCUGCAGGCUGGUGAGGCAGUGGAACCUGAGUUCAACACUUAUCGUCAUCCGAUCAAAAAAAUUGUGAUAAUCCCAGAAAAAAUGAACUUCUAGUUAAUCCUUUGAAGUCCGUACUACAUCUGUAUACGAAUACGACCGUCCACCCAUAUUACGCCAGUAUAAAAUCCUAAACGGCAAGGUAAAAAAGAUGAAUCGACACCUCACAUUGGAGAGAAAAAGAUAGAUGAGGACAAAAGAGUUGCACAGAAGAAAGGAGAAAGCGCCCUGUAAGAAUUUUCCAUUGUUCAAGUAAAGAUGCCCCUCUUUUUAAGUAUCUGUAGUAUUUUUAUGUGUGUAGCUCUUACAUCUGAGACCAGUCCAUUCUUUAAUUAUUUC